rnacentral:lncRNA from 1 species
GAGUAGUCCUCAGUGGGUACCGUCACCGACCCCAACGGUCUACCCACUAAGUCUACAAUAUGGGUAAUAAAUUAAUAGGUAAAAAAGCUGGAAGAAACUCUACAGCUAAAUGCCACUAUACUAUCGUCAUCCAAACCAUGCUCUCUGAAAACAUAUGAAAUGCAUCACUAGCUAUCAAUCAGCCACAACUAACCCAAUCUCAAAGGACCGCCAACUGGCCAGUCCAGCCU